GGUACUCGAUAUUGUAAAAUGUUGAGCGCUGAGUGCCCGAAGCCCUCGUCAAUGUCGGCAGUAACUAUAACUGUCCAAAGGUAGAAAUAGCGCGCUGCCUUUGUAAAAUCUGACUGUAUCGGUGAACAUCCCGCUAUGGCGGGACAAUACCGAGGCAACCCCGACGGAAUGUUGGGGGAGUCCGUAGAGACUAUACGUCAGACCGUAGUACAUAAAGCCUGAUGUGCUCGGAAGAUAUAGUCCGACCUCCGUGGCAACACGGAG
rnacentral:ncRNA from 1 species